rnacentral:pre_miRNA from 1 species
UUUCCAGUAUAGGUAUGUCCCAUGCAAUACUUGGGACAUUUCUGUACUAAAA